rnacentral:tmRNA from 1 species
UUUGGUGAUACUAUCUAUCCAGAUUGGCGAGCAACCCUUUAGAUAGUGUAGCUUUGCUGUUUGACGAGCAGUGAAGUGAAAUUUAGUCUUAGCUUGGCUAAUUGUUUUGGGAAGUGAGCAAGGCUAGGUGAAUUUUUCACUUCUACUAAGCGUGUAGAGGCUGUGAUGUGGCUGUUUUUGGACUGCGGUUCGAUCCCGCACACCUCCACCA